AACGAACGCUGGCGGCAGGCCUAACACAUGCAAGUCGAGCGCGCCCUUCGGGUGAGCGGCGGACGGGUUAGUAACGCGUGGGAACGUACCCUUUCUACGGAAUAGUCUCGGGAAACUGAGGGUAAUACCCGUAUAAGCCCUUCGGGGAAGAUUAUCGGGAAGGAUCGGCCCGCGUUAGAUUAGAUAGUUGGUGGGGUAAUGGCCUACCAAGUCUACGAUCUAUAGCUGGUUUUAGAGGAUGAUCAGCAACACUGGGACGUGAGACACGGCCCAGACUCCUACGGGAGGCAGCAGUGGGGGAAUCUUAGACAAUGGGCGCAAGCCUGAUCUAGCCAUGCCGCGUGUGUGAUGAAGGUCCUUAGGAUCGUAAAGCACUUUCGCCAGGGA
rnacentral:rRNA from 1 species